UUUUUCUUGCUUAAAACACUUUCCCGUACUGCACCAUCCGCGGUGUUCUUUCUGCUUCAUCGGAGGACGAUUUUUUAUCAUCUAAUUGUUUGGUUUCAGAUGUGUGCUGCUACCGCUAGCUGUUCCUCAAACUUCUUAAAAAGUGUGACACUGUGUGCACAGGCGUUCAAGUUUCAAUUGAUCCUCAAGCACAAAGUGUAUUUUUUCAACAGCCUUCAUACAACACUGCGGUUGAGGCACGCCAAAUCUGAUGACAUCUUUCCUGAACCAAGCAGGCUGAACACGCGCACCACCAAACGGGCUCCAGCGCGGUGUGAAGAG